rnacentral:rRNA from 1 species
UACGUAGGCAGCAAGCGUUGUUCGGAGUUACUGGGCGUAAAGAGUGCGUAGGCGGUGUCGAAAGUUUGGUGUGAAAUCUCCCGGCUCAACUGGGAGGGUGCGCCGAAUACUGAAUGACUUGGAGUGCGGGGAGAGGAGAGUGGAAUUCCUGGUGUAGCGGUGAAAUACGUAGAUAUCAGGAGGAACACCGGUGGUGUAGACGGCUCUCUGGACCGUAACUGACGCUGAGACACGAAAGCGUGGGUAGCAAACAGG